rnacentral:rRNA from 1 species
AUACGUAGGGGGCGAGCGUUAUUCGGAAUUACUGGGUGUAAAGGGUAUGUAGGCGGCCCUUCAAGUCGCGUGUCAAAGUCCAGUGCUCAACGCUGGGUGUGCGCGCGAUACUGACGGGCUUGAGGGCUGGAGAGGUGAGCGGAAUUCCCGGUGUAGUGGUAAAAUACGUAGAGAUCGGGAGGAACACCAGCGGCGCAGGCGGCUACCUGGACCGAUACUGACGCUGAGACGCGAAAGCGUGGGGAGC